rnacentral:rRNA from 1 species
AGAGUUUGAUCCUGGCUCAGGAUGAACGCUGGCGGCGUGCCUAAUACAUGCAAGUCGAGCGAACGGACGAGAAGCUUGCUUCUCUGAUGUUAGCGGCGGACGGGUGAGUAACACGUGGAUAACCUACCUAUAAGACUGGGAUAACUUCGGGAAACCGGAGCUAAUACCGGAUAAUAUUUUGAACCGCAUGGUUCAAAAGUGAAAGACGGUCUUGCUGUCACUUAUAGAUGGAUCCGCGCUGCAUUAGCUAGUUGGUAAGGUAACGGCUUACCAAGGCAACGAUGCAUAGCCGACCUGAGAGGGUGAUCGGCCACACUGGAACUGAGACACGGUCCAGACUCCUACGGGAGGCAGCAGUAGGGAAUCUUCCGCAAUAGGCGAAAGCCUGACGGAGCAACGCCGCGUGAGUGAUGAAGGUCUUCGGAUCGUAAAACUCUGUUAUUAGGGAAGAACAUAUGUGUAAGUAACUGUGCACAUCUUGACGGUACCUAAUCAGAAAGCCACGGCUAACUACGUGCCAGCAGCCGCGGUAAUACGUAGGUGGCAAGCGUUAUCCGGAAUUAUUGGGCGUAAAGCGCGCGUAGGCGGUUUUUUAAGUCUGAUGUGAAAGCCCACGGCUCAACCGUGGAGGGUCAUUGGAAACUGGAAAACUUGAGUGCAGAAGAGGAAAGUGGAAUUCCAUGUGUAGCGGUGAAAUGCGCAGAGAUAUGGAGGAACACCAGUGGCGAAGGCGACUUUCUGGUCUGUAACUGACGCUGAUGUGCGAAAGCGUGGGGAUCAAACAGGAUUAGAUACCCUGGUAGUCCACGCCGUAAACGAUGAGUGCUAAGUGUUAGGGGGUUUCCGCCCCUUAGUGCUGCAGCUAACGCAUUAAGCACUCCGCCUGGGGAGUACGACCGCAAGGUUGAAACUCAAAGGAAUUGACGGGGACCCGCACAAGCGGUGGAGCAUGUGGUUUAAUUCGAAGCAACGCGAAGAACCUUACCAAAUCUUGACAUCCUUUGACAACUCUAGAGAUAGAGCCUUCCCCUUCGGGGGACAAAGUGACAGGUGGUGCAUGGUUGUCGUCAGCUCGUGUCGUGAGAUGUUGGGUUAAGUCCCGCAACGAGCGCAACCCUUAAGCUUAGUUGCCAUCAUUAAGUUGGGCACUCUAAGUUGACUGCCGGUGACAAACCGGAGGAAGGUGGGGAUGACGUCAAAUCAUCAUGCCCCUUAUGAUUUGGGCUACACACGUGCUACAAUGGACAAUACAAAGGGCAGCGAAACCGCGAGGUCAAGCAAAUCCCAUAAAGUUGUUCUCAGUUCGGAUUGUAGUCUGCAACUCGACUACAUGAAGCUGGAAUCGCUAGUAAUCGUAGAUCAGCAUGCUACGGUGAAUACGUUCCCGGGUCUUGUACACACCGCCCGUCACACCACGAGAGUUUGUAACACCCGAAGCCGGUGGAGUAACCUUUUAGGAGCUAGCCGUCGAAGGUGGGACAAAUGAUUGGGGUGAAGUCGUAACAAGGUAGCCGUAUCGGAAGGUGCGGCUGGAUCACCU